rnacentral:tRNA from 1 species
AAAAGAAUUAGUUAAAUUUCAUAACAUUAGAAUGUCAAACUAAAAUUAUUAAUUAAUUAAUAUUCUUU